UACGAAGGGGGCUAGCGUUGCUCGGAAUCACUGGGCGUAAAGGGCGCGUAGGCGGGCUCUUAAGUCGGGGGUGAAAGCCUGUGGCUCAACCACAGAAUGGCCUUCGAUACUGGGAGCCUUGAGACCGGAAGAGGUGAGUGGAACUGCGAGUGUAGAGGUGAAAUUCGUAGAUAUUCGCAAGAACACCAGUGGCGAAGGCGGCUCACUGGUCCGGGUCUGACGCUGAGGCGCGAAAGCGUGGGGAGCAAACAGGAUUAGAUACCCUGGUAGUCCACGCUGUAAACGAUGGAUGCCAGCCGUUGGCCGGCUUGCCGGUCAGUGGCGCAGCUAACGCUUUAAGCAUCCCGCCUGGGGAGUACGGUCGCAAGAUUAAA
rnacentral:rRNA from 1 species